CCCCUUUUAUUUUCUUAAAAAGAAGUGCCCUAUCUUAGUUCUCCAGGGCUGUCAUAAAUGCCAAGUAGAGUGAUCCUUUUUCUCUCUUGUCCUUGAGCUAUUGUCUUCCUCUAGGGGAUACUGCCCGUCAAGUUUUAGUUCCCUGGCUUUGCUCAUUCCCCCUCCGGUGCAUGUAAACUUUUCUCAGGUUCUGAGGAAGUCCUGAGAGUCAUGCCUGCAUAGCCAACGCAGCAUCUCAUUUUAAACCAGCUUCCCCUAGGGCUCCUAGAAACCUCUGUUUCCACACAAACCUGGUAUUGCUACUGGAAAACAUGUUCUCAGACCUUAUGGGAACCAGAUUUCUCUCAUGGCUCCCCUCAAACUCCACCUUCCCAGUCACUCUAGACCACCUAGAAUUUUUUCAGCCUUCACUGCUCAGAGUUAAGUGGUUACGAGGAUGACGGAUCUGCAUUCAGACUCCCAGCUUCACCACUUACUAGCCGUGUGACCUUGAGCAAGUCCUUUGUUCUCUCCAGCUCUGUUCCCUCAGUUGUAAAAUUGGAACGAUACGUCUUGCAAGGAUUAAAUGAGCAAUGUGGGAAAGUGCUAAGCACAGUGCCUGGUGCAUAGCAAAAGCUAUUAAGUAGCUAGCUUAUUGAUAAUUAGCUGUUUCCACUUGACCUUGUCCCACCUUGGGGCUGUGGCUAUGACUUUGCCACCUUCUCACCAUGGUACUCACCUCUGCCAGGACUUGGCAUUCCCAUCAGCCCUAGAAGGUCACCCUGACUAAUUCCCCACACUUCAGGUUACCUUUCCCCUUGGUUUCCAACCUGCUUCCUGCUCUGUGACCUCCUCUAACUUGAAUAAUGAAUAACUUGGGCACAGGAUGUCCCUUUAGGCUGUGCUGGGCUGGGCUUUUGUUCUGAGGCCCCUUCUAUGACGGGUGCUGUUACAGCAGGUUGAAAGCUGGAACUGUGUGUUUCUUCAGCAGGAGGGGUGACUCUGGCAGGUGGAGUGUGUGGCUGGGCGUAGACCAUGCGGAACGAAGGAAGCUGUUUAGUGCGUGCCUAUGGAAGUUCAGCGUUUCUCAGCAGAAAGGAGGAGGAGGGAAUUCUUCAGCUCAAAGGCUCAGGACAAAGGGGACAAUUUUUAAUCCAUUUUUCUAUGCAGGCUAGGGGAGAGGGAUUGUUCUACAGAUCUGUGAUUGGUUCUGCCCACGGUCAGUGCUCUGUGUGUGGGUGGACGGAGGAGAGGCAGAGAGCAAAAGGCAGUGCGGAGUAGAGGGGAUUAGGGACCUCUGUCCAAGUGAGGAUGAUGGGUUCCAACUCAGGAAACAGCCAGAUGCUGCUGUGCUUGAGGGACAGGAACCCACAGGUGAAAGCAGGACGGGGCUGUCUUGUUUGUAGCACAGUGGCCAGUCAGCAGCCAGGCUGAGAGAAGAGGCAGAACAAAUCAACCUCCAGCAGACGUGCUUCUGUCUGAGAUCAGAGAGGCUAAAAUGGAGAUUCACCUGCUUGGGAAAAAGAGAAUGCAACUUGGCAGGCUGCAUGAGGAAGGUCCAGAUCUGAGAAACAGAACCCCCAGAGCUACUGGCUCUCUCAACUCCUUGGCCAAACAGUACAGUUUGCUUUGCAGAGGACUCAGGAACCUGAGCUGCCAAUCCCACGUUCACACACGUGCUCACGCACAGUGGGGUUCUGUUCGGCCUGCCCUAGAGUAUUUUAAGUACAGAGCGGAGGGGGUGAGGGUGCGUGUUACAUGGUGACUCAUCCUGGCAGCAGAAACUGUGCAGUGCUGGGGAAAACGGCUCAAUGGCAGACUGUUUGCAGCAGAAAGCAGCCAGAAUGCACAGCUCUGCAAUGGAGGGCAAAAAGGACUGGGUGAGGGCUAGUCAUUGGAAAUGCCACCAGACUGGUCACCCUGGCUCGAGGUGUGAAUGGAUCCUGAGUAACACCUAACCCUAGGCUGGCCUGAAUGUCCUAAUCAUCCAUCAUGGAUGUACGGUUGCUCCACAGGCAUCAUUCUGUGUUGCACAAUGGAUCCUGGAUGUUUGACAGAAAAACAUUCAUUCUCCAGAAAGGUAAAAAACAAAAAACAAAACACAAAACAAAACAAAACAAAAAAACAAACCAGUGACCCUGAAAUAGGGACAAGUAGAAAUACCUCUUUACUACUGUCAUUUAAUAUUAUCCUGGCCAUUUCCUGUUUCAUUGGGUCUGGAAUUGAGUCCUUGCCAUGAGUGAGGACAAAGCGUGAAAAUAGCAGAAAAGAGCCUUUUCAGCAAGGCCCAGUUGGUAAAUUGGACUAUUCCUGCCAUCAAUGAGAAUAACAGGUUACCUGCACGUCACUUUGGUCACCAGGUCCCAGCUGGGAAGCUUCCUGAAGUUGCCUUCUGCUGCACUGUUUCCUAACAUGUGUCAGGAAGCUGAAGGAAAUAACAUUUAAAGCAACACCUGAGGAUCAAGGAAUCAUGAGAAGAACAGAUGGAAAAUCUUUCCAGGCAGAAGAAACACUUCACUUUGAGAACUUGCGUGCUGGGUGGAUAUGGCACAAAAUGGAAACAAGGUGAGGAAAAUGAGUUCCUCAUAAUCGUACCUAACACCUGCUGAGUGUCAACCACAUUGCCCACUGUUCUAAGUUCUAGGAACUCCUGACUAGACACUAACUGCAUAUUGUGUUGGGUACCAAAGAUGGAAAUUGCUUGGUCAUCAUCACCCAUGGAACACCUGCCGUUUUAUUUAAGAUUUCCUGAUACACAGAGAACCUGAAGAAGAAAGAAUGAGAUCUCAGUGAGGAAUCUACUUUUUAAAGGUUUUUGUUGACUAUUGGCUGAUUUAAAGAUUGAAUUUUUAAAACAUUAAUAGACAAAAAAGAGGAAAAACACUUUAAGAUACCUGGAAGGGACUAGAAGUUGCUAAACUAAUUAGCAACCUGGAAAGGAGAAAGGAGUCAAAGAAGAGAAAACGAAGAUGUACACUGAGUAACCACAGAUAAUCUCUUUCUCUUUGGUGGGACAACGAAGGGGAGCAGGUACCCACAUGAUUCCAGGCUCCACAGCUUGAACCAUGAUGGAGAAGCUUUUUCUAAUACUGACAUUUCCAGAUCCUACUGGACCUUAAAUCUAAUGACAGAAAGCUGCUAAAGAGCCGAUGCAACUGCAACCAGCUAGUCAGCUUGUGAAACUCAAGGCAAAGCCAAUCCUAGCUUGAUGUCUUAUGGUUUGCAGGACUUCUGACUUUAGGACUGGCUUUAGGUUCAAUUUAAAACUCAGGCUUGGGAGAAGAGAAAAUGUACUGAGCUGUGGUGAAACUAGUAAAUCUAGUGAGAGAACACACUUGACCUAAUUGUUUGUAGUUCUUUUUUUCA